AAUUGUAGUUGUGUCUUAUUAUCGAAAUAACAAUAUAUUUGAAUUGAAAGGAAGGGAAAAGAUAUACUCCCUCUGUCCCAUUUAAUUGUAUACGUUUCUUUUUAACUGCUCGACACGCAUUUCAAUACUCUUAUAAAAUAUAGUUCCGUAACUUAUUUUUGAGAUUUUCUUUUUCUGAAUAAAAAUAUAACAUCCAAACUUUAAUUCAGAAAAAGAAAAUUUUAAAAAUAAAUUACACAACUACACUUUAUAGGAGCAUUAAGUCUGUGCCGCGUCCCCGUCCCGUAUACUAUUCAGGGGGACGGAGGGAGUAAAUUUUAACGUGGGUUCUAAGCAGUGAAGCUGGGAUUGUUAUUGUCCGAGGAUUUGUAUUGUAAAGUGUUUGAUGAAAGGACUGAAAGAGAUGUUUGUUCUCGGUAUAUAAUGGUUUCCAGGUAUGAGCGGCCACUUUGUUAAGGCCCCCAGCGGUUUUGUCCCAGGAACUUCAUGUUGAUUAAUUGUCCAAAUUUCACCUGACAGGAGAAGAAAAUAAUUCAACAUAUCCGAAAUUGUGAAGUUCCACAGAGCAGUACAUGGCUAUGAUGGGUAAUCAGGUACUCUCUUCCUAAGAUAUCAGAAGGAUAGUUUUGUUUUAUUCUAUUGUGACUAGUUGUAAAUCCCCUCUUUCAUAUACAACAACCAAUCAUGUUUUAACUUGGCCUACUUUUAGUUUUUAUAAUGGCUGGUCAUUUUUAAGCAUGUUUCAAGGUAAUAGAAGUUUUCAUCAAACUUUUUUUCCUGCUUUUCAGCAAAGAAAGGGAAGGUUGUUUUACAAGAUUCUAAUCGAUAUUUUUGACUUUCUUUGUAUCACUCUCUUAGCGGGUUUCAGUUAUAUAAUAUUGGGACUCUUUAUAGUUUGCAAAGACUAUUGAAAUCCCUAUAAGACUUAAUUUUGGUUCUUUUAAAUACGGUCUCUACUUUUCAUCCUACGACAAAUUCUUCAAUUGAAUUUAUCUAGAAGUGAUAUAACAUUCGAAACUAGCACAUUCUGAGAAGAUUUUUAUCAAUCAAUCACAGUAAUAACUAUAAGAAUAUUGUUGUACUCAUCACUUAAAUUAUUACUGGAGAGUGCUUUUUUUUUUUUGCUAAAUUAUAUACAGAACACUUGCUAUAAGCAUAAGAUAAGUAUUCUAGCUAAAAAGGAAUCUCUCCACCAGUGAUUGAUAUGUGUGUAUCUUUUUUUUUCUUGAACUCCUAACAAACAUAUCAUAACCCAGUUCAUUUUAUUGUCCUUUGGCCAAAAACCAAGAGCAAUUUAACAGUUGGAGAAUUCAAUAAGUACUAAUAGCACAUGAUGGAAAUCACACAAUAUAUAAUUAGGCAACUAGGGUGGCUGCUUCAUAGAAUAUGAUAAAUAUCAAUUAUUAUUACCUAAGAUGCAAUAACAUAUUAUAAUAUUUUACACAUAUCAAAUGUAUGAACCACCUCAGGAAAAUAAUAGCAACAGUGUCCUAAAUCCUCCCCUGCAAACUAAAACUUAACAGAUUUAGUACACUUCUGAUCUCGAACAGUCUGAUCAGCUAUAACAACAGUCGAAGUACAAUUCAAUUUCACCCCAACAGUCUUCUUAACUAUCUCUAUAAUCUCAACCCUCCCUCUAAUGCUGGUUUUGGUAUCUAAAGCCAAGGUUCCUGCUGUUAAAUCGGCAGGUAAUUGAGAAACCCUGAUAAUUUUUUCGAGCAAAAAAUUUGCAGUCACAGUCAUCUGAAUUGUUUUCCUGGCCUUAGCAUUUCCCUUAGGUAUUUGAGCUUCACCGAUAAGCACAUUUUCAUAGUAAAUUUCUGUUGUAGCAUUCUUGUACCUGAAUGAUGCUAUGUUUGGAUUUUUCACCGAAACUUCUGCUAUGAGUGUCAAAUUUGUACUUGGUACAAGAUUUCUUGGAUCCACGCCUUCUAGUCCCCUGAUCGUCACAUUAUUCAGAUUUAUCUUCGGAUCCUUAACCUUGAAAACAGUCAAAAAGAGUAUCAAUAAUGUUACUCCUAAGAUCACUAGUACUGCAGAGGUGCACCCGCAGCACUGCACACAUCUUCUCCGGAGACGCUUUCUUUCAGUCUCCUCCUCGGUUGAUCGUUGCGUGACGGUGUCAUUUGGUAUCGAGAUUUGAUGAGCUUCCGAGGCUAGGGGUCUUUCUUGCUCGUGCUCUACCAUGGCUACAAAAAAUAAUAGUUGUACAGUUUUUUCAGAGACUUGUCCUGGAGAAGCAGAGUACAAAUCUAAGUAUUUGAAGUAGAAUUUUAUGUUAUGUUUCAGAGUUUGGGUUGUUAUAUAUAGUAUAUGCAAUGCAAGUCUAGAAGCAUGGGUUAUUUAUUUAAUAUUUACGCGUUA